AGAAUACUCCUUCCGUCCGGAAAUAUUUGUCAUCAAAAUGAAUAAAAAAGGAUGUAUCUAGAUGUAUUUUAGUUCUAGAUACAUUUUUUUUGUCCAUUUUGAUGACAAGUAUUUUCGGACAGAGGGAGUACUAG
rnacentral:pre_miRNA from 1 species